rnacentral:rRNA from 1 species
GAUGAACGCUGGCGGCGUGCCUAAUACAUGCAAGUCGAGCGAACAGACGAGGAGCUUGCUCCUCUGACGUUAGCGGCGGACGGGUGAGUAACACGUGGAUAACCUACCUAUAAGACUGGGAUAACUUCGGGAAACCGGAGCUAAUACCGGGUAAUAUAUUGAACCGCAUGGUUCAAUAGUGAAAGACGGUUUUGCUGUCACUUAUAGAUGGAUCCGCGCCGCAUUAGCUAGUUGGUAAGGUAACGGCUUACCAAGGCGACGAUGCGUAGCCGACCUGAGAGGGUGAUCGGCCACACUGGAACUGAGACACGGUCCAGACUCCUACGGGAGGCAACAGUAGGGAAUCUUCCGCAAUGGGCGAAAGCCUGACGGAGCAACGCCGCGUGAGUGAUGAAGGUCUUCGGAUCGUAAAACUCUGUUAUUAGGGAAGAACAAAUGUGUAAGUAACUAUGCACGUCUUGACGGUACCUAAUCAGAAAGCCACGGCUAACUACGUG